UUAUAGCAGGGGGUGUAAAGCCAUAACACCCUCUGUGUUCUGUUAGACAGGUAACUCUUUAUACACAAUAUAGCAGGGGGUGUAAAGCCAUAACACCCUCUGUGUUCUGUUAGACAGGUAACUCUUCAUCCACAUUAUAGCAGGGGGUGUAAAGCCAUAACACCCUCUGUGUUCUGUUAGACAGGUAACUCUUCAUCCACAUUAUAGCAGGGGGUGUAAAGCCAUAACACCCUCUGUGUUCUGUUAGACAGGUAACUCUUCAUCCACAUUAUAGCAGGGGGUGUAAAGCCAUAACACCCUCUGUGUUCUGUUAGACAGGUAACUCUUCAUCCACAUUAUAGCAGGG